GAUGAACGCUAGCGGCAGGCUUAACACAUGCAAGUCGAGGGGUAUAGUUCUUCAGAACUAGAGACCGGCGCACGGGUGCGUAACGCGUAUGCAAUCUACCUUUUGCAGAGGGAUAGCCCAGAGAAAUUUGGAUUAAUACCUCAUAGUAUGUGAGAAUGGCAUCAUUUUCACAUUAAAGUCACAACGGCAAAAGAUGAGCAUGCGUCCCAUUAGCUUGUUGGUAAGGUAACGGCUUACCAAGGCUAUGAUGGGUAGGGGUCCUGAGAGGGAGAUCCCCCCACACUGGUACUGAGACACGGACCAGACUCCUACGGGAGGCAGCAGUGAGGAAUAUUGGACAAUGGGCGCAAGCCUGAUCCAGCCAUGCCGCGUGCAGGAUGACGGUCCAAUGGAUUGUAAACUGCUUUUGACAGGAAGAAACACUGGUUCGUGAACCAGCUUGACGGUACUGUAAGAAUAAGGAUCGGCUAACUCCGUGCCAGCA
rnacentral:rRNA from 1 species